UACGUAGGGUGCAAGCGUUAAUCGGAAUUACUGGGCGUAAAGCGUGCGCAGGCGGUUUUGCAAGUCAGAUGUGAAAUCCCCGGGCUUAACCUGGGAACUGCAUUUGUGACUGCACGGCUAGAGUGCGGCAGAGGGGGAUGGAAUUCCGCGUGUAGCAGUGAAAUGCGUAGAUAUGCGGAGGAACACCGAUGGCGAAGGCAAUCCCCUGGGCCUGCACUGACGCUCAUGCACGAAAGCGUGGGGAGCAAACAGG
rnacentral:rRNA from 1 species